rnacentral:rRNA from 1 species
GACAGAGGGUGCAAGCGUUGUUCGGAAUUACUGGGCGUAAAGCGUGUGUAGGCGGCUAUGUAAGUCGGAUGUGAAAGCCCCGGGCUCAACCCGGGAAGUGCACUCGAUACUGCGUAGCUUGAGUACCGGAGAGGUUGGUGGAAUUCUCGGUGUAGAGGUGAAAUUCGUAGAUAUCGAGAGGAACACCGGUGGCGAAGGCGGCCAACUGGACGAGUACUGACGCUGAGACACGAAAGCGUGGGGAGCAAACAGG